CAGCCUCGCACAGUUGGACUGGUCCUGGGCAUAGAGGUGUCCCUCCGGGCUCCGAGGCUGCUGCCCUGCGCAGAGGCUGGGGAGCGCCUCUGAAGAUGAAGAUCUGGAGCUCCGAGCACGUGUUUGGCCACCCAUGGGACACUGUUAUCAAAGCUGCUAUGAGAAAAUAUCCGAAUCCAAUGAACCCUUGUGUAGUAGGAGUGGAUGUCCUAGACAGAUGCCUUGAUAACCGAGGCAGGUUACAUAGCCAUCGUCUUCUCAGCACUGAGUGGGGACUCCCAGCUCUUGUGAAAACGGUCUUGGGAACUAAUCGUACUUUGACAUAUAUCAAAGAGCAUUCUGUUGUAGAUCCGGUGGGAAAGAAAAUGGAGCUGUGUUCUACCAAUAUCACACUCACAAAUUUGGUGUUGGUGAAUGAGAGGUUGGUGUACACACCUCAUCCUGACAACCCUGAAAUGACAGUGCUGACACAUGAAGCAGUCAUCACUGUGAAGGGAUUUAGCUUAGGGAGCUACUUGGAAAGCCUAAUGGCAAACACUAUAUCAUCCAAUGCACGGAAGGGGUGGGCUGCUAUUGAGUGGAUAAUUCAAAAUUCUGAAAGUGCUGUAAGCUAACUGCAUCCACACCUACCAUUUGGGAUAAAUAGUGGUAACUACAGCAUUCAUUAACCAUGGGUCGAGAUGCCUUGGAAUGGGUGAUCAGCAGACUUAAUACAGAAUUUGAGGAACUAGCAGCACCACCUUGACAGAGCAUGCAACAUCAGCAGCAGCAGCAGCAGCCUCAAGAUGCCAGGGCUAUGUGGAACAUGCAGACGCCUAGAUAGGAUGGUGGGGGGCUGUUUUUCCCUACCUACUGCCAUCUUGGACUUAUUUGCAGUUUGUGCUCUACUUGGUUCAUUGGACCAUCAGCUAUUAAUACACACCUAGAAAAUGAUUGAGUUGAAUCAGGAAAGUAAUUAUAAAUGAGGCUGAGUUAACUGUAUGAUGGAUUUUGGUGGGGGUUGUGGGGAGGGUCAUUUUGUUUUCUGAGAAAAAUUAACCUUUUUCACCGAGUGAAUAAAUAUAAGUCUUUGACCUUUUUUUUCCUCUCCAGAGGGCGGAAAUAAUAUUAGUGAGGGGCUAGGAAGUUGAAAUUGGAAUUUCCAAAACUGUGACCAAAAAAGACACAUUUUCUGUGAUUCCCAAAGUUAGAAAAUGAGAAAGGGUAUACUUUCCUCACACUGUAACACUAAUAGUUCAUUAAAGUUUCUGUUUAGAUCUUUAAAAUUCACUGCAGUCAUAGACAGAGGUGCUUCCCUUGACUGAGAAAAGAAGAGAUUUCAUGGGCAACAACAGUGGUUUUGUUGUGUCAUAGACCCCUUUUGGCAGGCUGAAGAAGCCUAUAGAAGAAGAAUGUUUUUAAUGCAUCAAAUAAAAUAUUUAGGGUUACAAAGGAAACCAAUUAUAUUGAAAUACAUUUCUCAAAAAAAUUUUUUUUAAAGUUCAUGGACUCUCCAGGUUAAGAACACUAGGACUAGAAGAGCAUUGGCAAAGCACAACUGAACAUCGCUGCAGAUGGGUUAUAUUAUUGUAAGGUCUCUGCACCCACCCCUUAGAUGGCAAGUAUCUACCUGUCAGUACUUACUGUCCUUCCAUGAACCUGCAUUUAUGUUGCACAUACAGUAACCCCACUUAGUCGAUUUCAUUGCCUCACCCUAAAAGCAGGAUUUAGGGGGAAUUUAAGAGGUAGGUCUUGGCUAUAAUUACAAAAUUAAUAACUUGAAUAACAAAUUCUUAUUUUAAACUAGUAUUUGGAAAGAAUGGGAAUAUAUUUUCCUAAUUUAUGUUUAUUGUAACUAAUAUGACCAACUAAGUCGUUUGAGGUACUUUAUGGAGAAAUAGACUGUUUUUUCUUAUAUAAUCUUUUUUCUUGUUCUUUGUAUAAUGAAACACUUGGUUUUUAAAUUUUUCUUUACUUUUAUUUUUGAAGGGCAAUGAGGGUUAAGUGACUUGCCCAGGGUCACACAGCUAGUAUCAAGUGUCUGAGGCAAGAUUUGAACUCAGGUCCUCCUGACUCCAGGGCAGAUGCUUUAUCCACUGUGCCACCUAGCUGCCCCCAGAAAUAGACUGUUUUUGCUAAUAUAUCCUUCACUUUAACUUCAUGAUGUUUUUCCUGUCUCUCUGUCUGUCUUUCUGUCUCUGUUUCUGUUUCUGUCUCUCAUUAAAAAAAAAUAGGUUUCUCCACCUCUCCCAGGCUGGAAGUUCAGGGGCUUCUCAUGGGCCCAAUCCCUUUACAGAUUGACACAGGAGCUUUGACCUGCUCAGUUUCCAAUCUGGGCCACUUUGUCCUCUCUUUUUGUUGCUGUUUCGUUGUUUCGAGUUGUGUCUGCCUCUUCAGUGGUUUGCCAUUCCCUUAUGUGACAGAUGUGGAAGCUGAGGCAAACUGGGUUAUGUGACUUGCCUGCAGUCAGGAAGAACUCAAGUAUUCCUGAUUCCAGGCCCCGCGCUCUAUCCACUGUGCCACCUCACUUCUCUGGCUUCUGUUUAGGCAACCUAAUAAUCCCAUGGCUUUCGGGACUCACCAUAUCAAUAAAAAAUUUAGUGCAGAUAUCCAACAGGCAUAGCCUACCAUCAUUCAGAACUUCCAAGCUCAAGAGAUCUGCUAUCCUCAGCCCCCCUUGUAGCUGGGAUUGCAGGCAUGUUUGGUGUCAUAUUUCUUUCAAAACAUAGAAUACAGGCACAAGUAUUUUUGUCUUAGGUGCAUAGGGUUCCCCCUCCAAAAAAUAGAACACAGAAACAUGUUCCUGUAGAAGUGAUUUUGAUGGACCUGGUGUCAGGAAGUUAUAGAUUUAAAUUCUGCCAUAGACACUUACAAGCUCUUUGACUGUGGGAAAGUUAGUCAACCUUUCUGAGGUUCAGUUGCAUUAUACGAAAGAUGGGAAUAAUAAUAGCAUCUACCUCAUAGUCUGUUGCAAGGAUUACAUGUUGUGUUUAUGUGUAUAUGUGUGCACAUGUGUAUAUAAACACAUGUUCACCUAUGUAUGCACAAGUACAUGUGUAUACACAUGUAUUGUAAACCUGAAAGCAUUAUAUAUGUAUACUAAUACUAUAUUAUUAUUAUUGUUGUUAUUUUUAUUAUUAUUAUUAUUGUUAUUAUUCCACCCAUUGCACAUUGUUUUGCUCCUGGGGCCAAGCAGAGCAAAUCUAAUCUUUUUCUAUGUGACAGUUCUUUUAACACCUGAAGGAAACUAUCAUGUUUUUAUUUAAGUCUUCCUCUCUCUGGGGUAACAGCCCCAGCAUGUGUGUGUGAGUGUAUACACACACACAGACACACACACAUUUACCCUCUUCCAAACAAUCUCCAGUUUAUCAGUGUCCUUCCUAAAAUGUGGAACCCCAAAUGGAACAUAGUAUUCCAGAUGUGUUCUGACAAGGGCCACUAUCUUCCUAGUCCUAGAACUUGUGCUUUUCUUUCUUGCUUGCUUUCUUUUUUUUGGUGGGGCAUUGAGGGUUAAGUGACUUGCCCAAGGUCACACAGCUAGGAAGUGUCAAGCAUCUGAGGCCAGAUUUGAACUCAGGUCCUCCUGACUCCAGGGUCCGUGCUUUAUCCACUUCGCCACCCAGCUGCCCCACUACUUGUGCUUUUCUUAAUGUGGCCUAUGAUUACAUUAGCUUUCCUGGCUACAUCACACUGUUGACAAAUUUUGACCUGGCAGUCUGCUAAAACCCUAGCUUUUUUGCUGAUGAAUUUUCUGAUGCCUCCCCCAACUUAUAUUUGUGAAUUUGGCUUUUUUAAAAAACCUAAAUACAAGCCUAUACCUUUGUCCUAAUUUUUUUUUUUUUUGGAUUCAGUGAUUCAGUCCAAAGUUUUUGCCAAGAUCUUUGGGGAUCCUGGCUCUCUCAAUUAGUGUGUUAGCUAUCCUCAGUUUUUGUUGUUACUUUCAAAUUGGAUAAGCUUUCCAUCUAUGCCUUUAUCUAAAUUUGUUUUUAAAGAAAAGUCAUCCCACAGAUAGAUCCCAGUGCCCUCCACUACAGUAGACACCUCAUUCUGGUCAACAUUGACCCAUUUGUGGCUACUCUUUGGGAACUUCUAUAUAGAGCACUGUUUCUAGACAUCACAAGAAGUACAGAAGAAACUGAACAUUAAUUUUGCUGUCUAAAAACUUUGAUUAAAGGGGGAUAUAGAAAAGACAUAGAGCAAUCGAUUAUCUUUUUAAAGAACACUAUGUGAAUAGUCAUAAAUUAGAGUUUAAACUUAAUACAUAAAUACUGAGGAGAAAGAUGGAAACCUAGGACCCAGAUGAACUGAAUUUUAUGCCAGGCAUUGAGAAAGAGGGUCAGAUAUGGAAGGCAUUGAUAACCUAAUGUAAAACUACCCCUUCAUUCUAGUAAAUUGUUCUUAAGUUACCAAUUUACUUUUUUUAUCUACAGAGGGGUUGAUAAAAUGAUAUUUUUAAAAAUUCAUAUACACAAGGAAUAACUAUACAAAAUAAUAUUUGAACUUAUUGAAAACCAAAGAAGAGUUGAUAGUGUAUAGCACAAAGUUGAACACAGAUAGAUAAAUCUGUGUUUAGAUAUGAACUACAGAUGAUGAAAUCUUCCAUACAGUUUUCUUUUUUUUGGGGGGGGGGGUGAGGCAAUUGGGGUUAAGUGACUUGUCCAGGGUCACACAGCUAGUAAGUGUUAAGUGUCUGAGGCCAGAUUUGAACUCAGGUCCUCCUGAAUCCAGGGCCAGUGCUUUAUCCACUGUGCCACCUAGCUGCCCCCCCCCAUACAGUUUUCUUUAUGUCAACAGUUCUGAAUUUUAGUUAGGAGGAGUGAAUUUAGUUGUAUUUGGAAUCUAUUUGGACUUUCUUGGUCAUAUUAAAACCUAAGACUUUGUGUCAAAAUUUCUUCAAGGAUAACUCACUUUAUAAUAGAAGAGAUACCAAUGAUAGUGAAACUACUACAGAAUUUUGAAAUGUGAAAGUCCUUUGUGGAGAUUGUUUGAAUUAUUCUAAUUUUUGAAGCAGUGAAAACAUUACUUAAAGUAGUUCAGGAUUUCUAUUUCGUUUCCUUUUGGGGGGGGGGCAGCAGCUGAUAACAAGUAGGGAUAUGAGUGGACUAUAUCAAAACCCUAAUUACCCAAUCAGUGAAACUUGAAGAGCUAAAAAUGAAAGAUUGGCAUUGAAGAAUGGACCUUUAAACUCCAAGUGCCCAUGAGGGUGGAAUCUAAAUUGAUUUGGGAGGUUCUGGGGCAGAAUACAUUGUUCUCUUGGGGUCAUGGUAAUUAAGGUCAUGGGCCAAGUCAAGCCUAUGGAAUUAUAGCUAGAUGGAAUAGUUUAGGGAAUUUAAGUAUCAUCUCUAGUCUGAGACUAGAUAGUUUCCUUUUGUGUGUUGUAUUUAUAGGACUCUGUUGCCUGUAAAUUCCAUGAGGAAAGGGACUGUAUAGCAGCUAAAGUGUUCAAAGGCAUGAAUUGGAUUUCCAACAUUUUUGUGAGUCCAACAUUGGGUACAUAGUGGGCAUUUAGAUACAUGAUGAAUGUAUAAUCAAAUUAUAUUAGCAGCUCACUGGAAAGGAUGUUGUAAUUUAAUCAUUAAUAACUACAUAACAACACAGAAUCUCCGAUUAUCAUCAGAAAAUGUCUUCAUAUGUCAUGCUUUUAUUGACCAGACUGUUCUUAAAGUGAAGUAAGCAUGUCAAAUGCUAGUUUAAUUGCAUUUUAAAUAUUCCACUUUAUUUGGUAUAUGUGCCCUAAUCUAAUUUUUGUGGCCAUAUUAAGUACUUGUCUUUUUAUAGACAACCAAAAAUAUAUUAGUUCAAUAACCUAAAGAAUACUUUGUGGGGCGGCUAGGUGGCGUAGUGGAUAAUGCACCCGCCCUGGAGUCAGGAGUACCUGAGUUCAAAUCCGACCUCAGACACUUGACACUUACUAGCUGUGUGACCCUGGGCAAGUCACUUAACACCCAUUGCCCCGCAAACAAAAAAAGAAUACUUUGUGCAUUUACAUAGCAGCCUCAAUUAUAGUUUCCAGAGAGUUUUUGGAAAUCUAAUUGUUGAUUUAAAAAUUGAGAUCAAUGAUUCAGAGAGGAAGAGAUAUAUAUGGUAACAUCAAUGAGUGUAAACUCAGGAGAUUGAUGAUUGUAAUCUUUAGGAGUAUGUGUGAAACAAAACCUGAGCAGUAGAGAUUUAUUUAUGAGGCCAUAAUACUUGAAGAUGUUGAUGGGGUGAGCCCCUGAACCAAGCAACUUUAGAAUGUAACUCUGAUAUAUGUACACAUAUAAAUAUAUGGGUGAAUGUGUAUAUGUGUAUAUGUAUACAUACGUAUGUAUAUAUAUAUAUAUAGAGAGAGAGAGAGAGAGAGAAAGAUGCAAUAAAAUGUUGAAUUUUAGCUUUGUACUCAGAAAUAACUGCAUUAACUCAGUACUUUUAAAGGUGGUUAAUAAAAGGAUAACCAUUCUCAGACAGUGUAGUUUUAAGACUCUUUUGACUAUAGCAUCUCUAUAUAUUUUUAAAUUACCUUCAAUACUGACCCAAUAUGAGUGUGUUUAAAGGCACUCACUGAUUGAAUUUUGAGAUUUCUUUCUUGGUAAGAUCAGGAUAUAAAGAAGCUGAUUUAUCUAGCAUUUUAUCCACUGAAAAUCUCUGUUAGCUGACUGCUUCAACAUUUUGUCAAUACUGAUAACCAAUUCAAUUCGAUUAAAUUCAUAUGCAUAGUAGCCAUAUUUUAUGAACCAGACAUUGUGGCACAAGACCAAACAACUUUGCUUUGCUGUCAUUAUUGCUUAAGUCUUUAUGUUAAAACUCACAGUGAGGUUUUACUUCAUUUUCCUAUUGAAAACCUGGGAUGGGGAAAAGACAACAACAAUGACGUGUGUGCCCUCCCUUUAAAAAUUUUCCUUUUAUUUAUGCAUGCUUAUACACAUGCAUGUUAUUUCAGCUGACAGAAUGCUAGCUCUUUAAGUACAAGGUCUGUUUCUUUUAUGUCUUCUUACCCCUGUUGCCUAGCAGAAUGUCUCAUACUUAGUUUGUUCUACUAAAUGUUUAUUGAUUGAUUGAUAAUUGAUAUGAUUAAUUUCUUCACCAAAUAUAGAUAAAAGUUCUGCCAUAAUAUGUCAUUAUAGGUAAUUCUCGUUCAUGCUUUUCUGGAGCCCUUCCAUGGAGGAUCCAUUUAACACACAGGAUUACUAGUUUUUUUCAUAUUUGGGGGACAAUAACAUUGUCCUUAGACUAUACAUCUAAUAUUCCUCAAUCUCAAUGUGUUACUGUCCUGCCCCCUUUUUGGCCAUAGUCUUUUUUUUUUAAUUAAUAAAGUAUUUUAUUUUUUUCCGUUACAUAUAAAGAUAGUUCUCAACUUUUGU